rnacentral:rRNA from 1 species
ACGCUCGACACCUACUGGAGGCAGCAGUGGGGAAUAUUGCACAAUGGGGGAAACCCUGAUGCAGCGACGCCGCGUGGAGGAAGAAGGUCUUCGGAUUGUAAACUCCUGUUGUUGGGGAAAAAGAGGAUGGUACCCAACAAGGAAGUGACGGCUAACUACGUGCCAGCAGUCCGCGGUAAUCUGAGCGGGCUGGCAAGGC